GAUGAACGCUAGCUACAGGCUUAACACAUGCAAGUCGAGGGGAAACGGCAUUGAGUGCUUGCACUCUUUGGACGUCGACCGGCGCACGGGUGAGUAACGCGUAUCCAACCUUCCCAUUACUGUGGAAUAACCUGCCGAAAGGCAGACUAAUACCGCAUGGUCUUCGUUGACGGCAUCAGAUAUGAAGUAAAGAUUUAUCGGUAAUGGAUGGGGAUGCGUCUGAUUAGCUUGUUGGCGGGGUAACGGCCCACCAAGGCGACGAUCAGUAGGGGUUCUGAGAGGAAGGUCCCCCACAUUGGAACUGAGACACGGUCCAAACUCCUACGGGAGGCAGCAGUGAGGAAUAUUGGUCAAUGGACGUAAGUCUGAACCAGCCAAGUAGCGUGCAGGAUGACGGCCCUAUGGGUUGUAAACUGCUUUUGUAUGGGGAUAAAGUCAAUCACGUGUGAUUGUUUGCAGGUACCAUACGAAUAAGGACCGGCUAAUUCCGUGCCAGCAGCCGCGGUAAUACGGAAGGUCCAGGCGCUAUCCGGAUUUAUUGGGUUUAAAGGGAGCGUAGGCCGGAGAUUAAGUGUGUUGUGAAAUGUAGACGCUCAACGUCUGACUUGCAGCGCAUACUGGUUUCCUUGAGUACGCACAACGUUGGCGGAAUUCGUCGUGUAGCGGUGAAAUGCUUAGAUAUGACGAAGAACUCCGAUUGCGAAGGCAGCUGACGGGAGCGCAACUGACGCUUAAGCUCGAAGGUGCGGGUAUCAAACAGG
rnacentral:rRNA from 1 species